rnacentral:snoRNA from 1 species
AAGACUAUACUUUUUGACCCAUUUCUAUAGUCUGUUACUAGAGAAGAUUCCCUGGCUGUGUAGAGGACUGGAAACCAGGAGGAAGAGGUGCUGCUUCUCUCCUGGGCAUGAAGCCAGCUCUAGGUUGUUUUGCUGUCACUUUGCCAGGGAUGAUCGUUCUUCUCUUCCUUCCAGAGAGUAAGAGGAAAGGAUGCAGCCUGAGUGGU